rnacentral:ncRNA from 2 species
GGUUGGGGCAGUUGCUUUCAAGGAUAUUUUCUUCAAGGGGUGAGAAGAA